UACGAAGGGGGCUAGCGUUGCUCGGAAUCACUGGGCGUAAAGCGCACGUAGGCGGAUUGUUAAGUCAGGGGUGAAAUCCUGGAGCUCAACUCCAGAACUGCCUUGAUACUGGCGAUCUCGAGUCCGGGAGAGGUGAGUGGAACUGCGAGUGUAGAGGUGAAAUUCGUAGAUAUUCGCAAGAACACCAGUGGCGGAAGGCGGCUCACUGGCCCGGUACUGACGCUGA
rnacentral:rRNA from 1 species